rnacentral:rRNA from 1 species
GCACUUUGGGAUAAGCCUGGGAAACUGGGUCUAAUACCGAAUACACCCUGCUGGUUGCAUGACCUGGUGGGGGAAAGCUUUUGCGGUGUGGGAUGGGCCCGCGGCCUAUCAGCUUGUUGGUGAGGUUACGGCUCACCAAGGCGACGACGGGUAGCCGGCCUGAGAGGGUGAUCGGCCACACUGGGACUGAGAUACGGCCCAGACUCCUACGGGAGGCAGCAGUGGGGAAUAUUGCACAAUGGGCGCAAGCCUGAUGCAGCGACGCCGCGUGGGGGAUGACGGCCUUCGGGUUGUAAACCUCUUUCAGUAGGGACGAAGCGUGAGUGACGGUACCUACAGAAGAAGGACCGGCCAACUACGUGCCAGCAGCCGCGGUAAUUCAAA